rnacentral:lncRNA from 1 species
GUAGGCCGUGGCAGGUGAGGAUGGGAAGGUGAGCUGUGGCAGGUGAGGAUGGGAAGGUGAGCUGUGGCAGGUGAGGAUGGGAAGGUGGGCUAUGGCAGGUGAGGAUGGGAAGGUGGGCUGUGGCAAGUGAGGACGGGAAGGUGGGCCGUGGCAGGUGAGGACAGGAAGGUGGGCUGUGGCAGGUGAGGGGACAGGAAGGUCAGCCGUGGCAG